GCCGCAGUCGUCUAGGGGUGAGGACAUUAGUUUGUGGAUAUCAUCUACAAGUCACUGGAAACCGAGGUUCGAGUCCUCGCUGCGGCA